UACGGGGGGGGCAAGCGUUGUCCGGAAUUAUUGGGCGUAAAGAGCUCGUAGGCGGUCUGUCGCGUCUGCUGUGAAAACUCAGGGCUUAACCCUGAGCUUGCAGUGGGUACGGGCAGACUAGAGGUGCGGUAGGGGAGACUGGAAUUCCUGGUGUAGCGGUGAAAUGCGCAGAUAUCAGGAGGAACACCGGUGGGCCGAAGGCGGGUCUCUGGGCCGUAACUGACG
rnacentral:rRNA from 1 species